rnacentral:tRNA from 1 species
UAUACUUAAGUGUAAGAUGCACAUAGAAUUUUGAUUUCUUUAGGUUGGUUUAAUUCCAUAAAGUGUAA